rnacentral:rRNA from 1 species
UUUUGGACAAUGGGGGCAACCCUGAUCCAGCAAUGCCGCGUGAGUGAAGAAGGCCUUCGGGUUGUAAAGCUCUUUUGUCAGCGCCCCCAACACCGGCUCUAACACAGUCCGGGAAUGACGGUACCUGAAGAAUAAGCACCGGCUAACUACGUGCCAGCAGCCGCGGUAAUACGUAGGGUGCGAGCGUUAAUCGGAAUUACUGGGCGUAAAGCGUGCGCAGGCGGUUAUACAAGACAGGCGUGAAAUCCCCGGGCUUAACCUGGGAAUGGCGCCUGUGACUGUAUAGCUAGAGUGUGUCAGAGGGGGGUAGAAUUCCACGUGUAGCAGUGAAAUGCGUAGAUAUGUGGAGGAAUACCAAGGCGAAGGCAGCCCCCUGGGAUAACACUGACGCUCAUGCACGAA